AGUCAGGUAACGAGCGAGAUCCCUGGCCACUAGUUGCUAUCAUUAUUCUCAGGAAUAGUGGGGCGAAUUAGUGGGACUGCCGUUGUAAAAACGGAGGAAGGAAGGGGCUACGGCAGGUCAGUAUGCCCAAAAACUCUGGGGCCACACGCGGGCUGCAAUGGUAGCGACAAUGAGUUCCAAACUCGAAAGAGAGUGGCAAUCCCUAAACGUACCACAGUUAUGACUGAGGGCUGCAACUCUCCCCUCACGAAUAUGGAAUCCCUAGUAACCGCGUGUCAUUACCGCGCGGUGAAUACGUCCCUGCUCCUUGCACA
rnacentral:rRNA from 1 species